rnacentral:lncRNA from 1 species
ACACAAAAUUGCAACAAAUUCUUCCAUUAACCAAAUGCCAUCGUACAUGGAUAGCACCAUGUAUCUUAUGUCUUCCUAGCUAUCAUAAUGAAGUACUGGCAAAUGAUAUUACCAAAAAAGGAGCAAAGGCCUCAUGUUCCCAAAAUACUCCACCUAACAUCGGGAACAUCCAGGAAACAGAAUAUGGACUCAGCAGCUGUUCCAAUGGGAGGACACGCAUGCCUGGUCAUGAUGCACUGGCGAUAAGUCCAGCU